rnacentral:rRNA from 1 species
GCAAGUCGAGCGAUUUACUUCGGUAAAGAGCGGCGGACGGGUGAGUAACCCUUGGGUAACCUGCCCUAUACACACGGAUAACGUACCGAAAGGUACGCUAAUACGAGAUAACAUAUUUUUAUCGCAUGGUAAGAAUAUCAAAGCUCCGGCGGUAUAGGAUGGACCCGCGUCUGAUUAGCUAGUUGGUAAGGUAACGGCUUACCAAGGCGACGAUCAGUAGCCGACCUGAGAGGGUGAUCGGCCACAUUGGAACUGAGACACGGUCCAAACUCCUACGGGAGGCAGCAGCGGGGAAUAUUGCACAAUGGGCGAAAGCCUGAUGCAGCAACGCCGCGUGAGCGAUGAAGGCCUUCGGGUCGUAAAGCUCUGUCCUCAAGGAAGAUAAUGACGGUACUUGGGGAGGAAGCCCCGGCUAACUACGUGCCAGCAGCCGCGGUAAUACGUAGGGGGCUAGCGUUAUCCGGAAUUACUGGGCGUAAAGGGUGCGUAGGUGGUUUCUUAAGUCAGAGGCGAAAGGCUACGGCUCAACCGUAGUAAGCCUUUGAAACUGAGAAACUUGAGUGCAGGAGAGGAGAGUAGAAUUCCUAGUGUAGCGGUGAAAUGCGUAGAUAUUAGGAGGAAUACCAGUUGCGAAGGCGGCUCUCUGGACUGUAACUGACACUGAGGCACGAAAGCGUGGGGAGCAAACAGGAUUAGAUACCCUGGUAGUCCACGCCGUAAACGAUGAGUACUAGCUGUCGGAGGUUACCCCCUUCGGUGGCGCAGCUAACGCAUUAAGUACUCCGCCUGGGAAGUACGCUCGCAAG